rnacentral:tRNA from 1 species
GGUAGAACACCUCGUUUACACACCGAGAAGGUUUACGGUUCGAGUUCGUAUAGCCCUA